GGCGGGGGUUUGGCGGGAACGCCGCCGCCGCCAUGUCAACUGUGGGCAAGCACCGGUAACGGCAGCGUCCCACCCGCCUCCCGGGCGGGAAGGAAUACCGGUUCCUGUCUGCAAGUAUGUGCUAAGCCAGACUUCAUCCAGGUGCUGGUACCAUCAUAUCAAAACGCACAGCAGUGUUACAUCGAAUACUAUAUGUAUUUAGCUCCAUUACUUUCAUCUGAACAGCCUCAAAGUGAAACUUCUGUAGAUUAAAACCAUUUAGUAAAGUAAGAUGAAAACCAUUUGGUAAAGUAAGAUCUAACCUGUGUCUACCACAGCGCUACGCACAUUCUCGUACUUUUAUUCAUCUAUUAUUGAAUACAGAAACAUCUCUUUCACAUCAUUUUAUACGAAUAUUUGAAACCAAAGUACAGUAGAAGGAGAAAACUGAUUCAUAGAGCUAUGAAAACGAGGCGGUGUCAUUUCCUAUCAGAUAUCACGGAAGAACUUUUUUCCAUCUUUACGUAGGUGUCAGGUGUCGCACGGGCUUGAGCAGUGUCAGCCCUUUUCUUUCAUGUCGGGACCGCAGUAAUGAUGAAAGAAAAAAAAAAAAAAAAAAGAUCCUGCAGAGCUGGAACAUGCUACCUUGAAGCUGCAGACAACCACAGCGAGCUGGCUGCGGUCUGCUCGGCUUGCUAAUGCCUACCCUCUGGAAAAGCAGGAAAGGUGGUUGCUGCAGCUGCUGCUAGAAGUGUUGCCGCUGUGUGAAUCCCGUUUGCACAGUCGGUUGAGACCAAUCGUACAGAUUUAAGGGUAUUUGGAAGUUUGUUAUGGAAACCUUUACAUGUCUUUCCUAGGCAUUGUACCCAGGAAAUAAUUUGCCAUGGAAAAACGUAACUGAAAGUAUUAUUGGUAGAGCUCACAUACUGCGGAUGUUUAACAUGAUAUUUAUCCACAAGAUUUUGCAUAAAGAUACACACUUAGUCACACUCUAAAGCUUGGAUCCUUUUCCUUUGAUUUUCCUGUGGCUGACAGCAAAGUUGAGAAUUUAUGUGGACGCAGAAUGUAAAUCACAGUCUUAAAGGCAAAGUUUGUACACUGGAUUUAAGAAAUGUUUAAAAAAUUAUAUGCAUUCACUAUGUGGCCAGCUUCUACAGAGAUGCUACUUAUUUGGCAAUUUUAAAGCAGUAUUUUGGUUUAAUUGACAUAAUGCUUUUAUCUAGGAUUAUUUCCAGACAAUAAAUUUGAUACAAGGGGUUUAAAUGACUUUUAAAUAAUUGAGAAAUCAUAUCUUAUUCCAGUACAUCUGUGAAACCAAAGUAAAUGUUUUUUGUCUCAGGCACACAUGUUAGUCUUCUAGGAACACAGACAUAAAAAAAUUAAAAUACUCCUAUGGGUUGUUUCAGAGUGAUGCAUUAACGUAUUUACUAUGACCUCGACAACACUGGAGACCACACAAGUAAGUCAUUGGUAACUCUUAAGAUGAGAAGUAUGCUGCUGUUGUAGCAAAAGUACAGCUGAGGUGGUUUUAAAUUUUCAUGUCAUGGAUAGUUUGUAAUACCGGUUGUGAGAAAAUACAUUUGUAAACAACACAAACCAGGGAGCAGAGAACACCACAAACCAUCUCUAUGAUUGUUCUUCAGCACAGCGCUGUACAGCUACUGAAAGUUUCCUUUCUUAGCUUCUUGUAUUUCUGAUUGCAGCUUUUUUUUUCCAGUCACGAUGUAAGGAACUGUAUUAUAUCUGGAAUUGGAGUGACCGAACUUGGAGACUUAAAAUAUCACAUCAUUGUAAUCCUGACAGCUGCAUUUAAUUGCAGAUAAUGUGCCUACAUUUUAAAAUAGAAAAUGAAGACAAGCAGUUACAUCACUUGCAUUUACUAUAUCUUUUUGCCAGAUGAGGCAAUUAGGAUUAUUUAUUUUAUGCUGUCCAAGAAUGUCUUAGAAAGUUAGGAAAACAUAUGGAUACGCACAGAGCAACUCCGGUUCCCACUCAAGUAAAUGGUAGCCGUUGUAGAGCCAGCAUUUAGUCCCGUCUUUGCUUACAGUCUAAACAGAGAUGCAAAGAAGGAAAGCAGUGAAAGGAAACAGAUAAGCCUAGGAAGGAGGAUAACAGCAGAGAUCCAAGUCUGAUUAAAGGGGAAGUCUGGUGUUUCCUUUUCCUUCCACUAGUUUAUAACUAGUGCUGCACAUUCACUAGCAGAAACUGUAAAUGCAGUACUGGUGUUUCGGGUUCAUCUUCAGCAAUGCACUCCAGGUGUUGAUUAUAGUCCGCAGUUACAGAACAAGGAUGCGCACAGGUAAUACUUUUAAGUCAAAGGAGAGAAGCCCUUAAACUUUUCAUUUCGGUUCUGUUUGGGUUCAGCCCUGACUAAAGUUCUUCCAGUUCAGUUCUGGUCCGAGUUCAGUAAAACUUCAGAAGGAUGGUUUGGUCCUAUUCCAGUUUUAGGGACAAAGAGAUAGAGAUAUAGAUACGCACACACAUAUUUGAGCCAGUUUGGGUUCAGCUCAACUCCCCACUAACUCUGCUCAAAUCUCAAAGCUAACCAUGUAGAUUAAAAAAGUAUUUACUAGACUUUGUAGAUCGGUGGACCACAGCCAAUCCUGCACAUCAGUAUCAUCAGACUUUUAGACUUCAGACCUCAUUCUUACUGUUUCUGUGGAUUGGGGAAUCACCGGUGGUCAUCAUGCCACACUUUUGAGGACUGCUGAAUUCGGGGUAGCAAGUCCAAAUCUGUGGGAACCAAGCUAAGCGGCAUCUCUUCUGACUACGCUGUUCUCUUUACAUGUGGGUUAUUCCAGGUCAGAAUACCAGAUUUUUAAAUUUAACUUACACUUUUUUUAAAGCUCACUUAAAAGUCCCAAAUCUUUUUAGAAACUCUGUACAAUAAUGAGAUGUAAAAAAAAAAAAAAAAAAGCUUUUGAGAGGAUCCUUUGUGCUAAUUAAGAGUCAAGCUGUAUGCUAGCAUGUACAUAUUUUCUUUGUUUUCUACAGACUAAUUUGUUUCUGCUGAUAACAAGAGCCAAAAUGUGUUUUUAAAACUAGUGCAAGCAGAUUUAAUCUAUUAGGACUAUGCUGUUUUCAAUUGUCUGUAGGACAGCAUUCCAACUUUAAGGACAAAAGAAAAGAAAUAUGAGCCUCUAGAUUUGUUUAUUAAAAACACAUCUAUUUGGUUAAAUCUCUCACAAAACCUCUGAAAUGAAGAUGGAAAAAAAGAAACACAUAUUAUAUGGUUGCCUGUCAUUUUCAGAAAGAAGAGCACAGAAAACACUUCUGAAUGUGAUGUAUCUCAAAACCACUGAAAAUAUAAGUCAGGGUGGCCCAAACUCGGUGGCCUGAAGACCAGAUGAGGGUCUUGCAAGCCAUUGCUGUCCACUGCCGUCCCAGGCAAUAAUGCCUUCCCUUCCUCCCUCUCCUCUUCCUCCUCACCCUGGUCCCCUUUGCAAGCGUGGCCCUCCCUAAUGCCAACAUCCAGGGCUCCCGCGCCAGCCACCAAAAACCAGGCUGAUGCCAAGGACGGGACGAUUUUGGUAUGGAAAGGUUGCCCAACUUGUAGACGGAGCUUAGGCGUGCUGUGCUGGGUGCCAGCAGGGUUUGAGGGCACUGGACUGUGGCUUGGGAGGGGGUGUCACUCUUCAGGUGGCAUUUGGUACUCCAAAAGUGAUUCCUUAUCACUCCUGAGAAAAGGUGACGGGCAGGACUGAAGUGCCUCACCGAAGGGGAACAGCCCCCCGGCUGCUGCUCAGAUUAUUCUGAUACUUCAUAACUUCCCAUUCAUUGAAAUAGUAAAGGCUUUAAAUUAAAUGCAGUUUGAAGAGAGCAAUGAAUACAAAAUGUAGGUGACAUGUCAUGAACUUCCUUAAAAGUAUUGUUUUAUUAAAAGGCAUGCCCAGCAUGUAGCUAAAAUAUAGCAUGGAACGUUUCAAAACAUCUUAAACAUCAGGUUUGAAGUGACUGUGUAGUGUCUAUACAUUCACCUUUGUUUCAGUAAUAAAAAUAAGUGUUUAUUAGCUGUACUGCAAUGACUUAAUGCUGUUUACUUUGAUACAAAUAAUCUCUAGCCAAAUGUUGAAUGCAGAAUAGUUGUAAGAAAAGAAGCAGGCAUCAAAUGCAAAACUUUUGGAUUCAUUCCAGAAAAAAAAAAAAGAAUCUCUGCAAUGAAUUAAUUGUAAUAAAAACCCUGCAAUUAAUAUUUGCAAAA